GGCCCGGUGGUGGGAGGCCGCACCUGCGUCUCAUUAGAAAUAAAUAUUUCUCGUGCAGAAUGAGCCGGAGAACCCCGUUCGAUCCGGGGCCGGGCCA